rnacentral:lncRNA from 1 species
AGUGGUACAUAAUUACACUUUAUUUCUCAAUUUGUACAUUUAUGAUAAAUUCCAGAUCUUUUAACAGCAUAUGCAUCCUAAAUUCCAGUUUUAACACUGACAAGAAGAAAUGGAGUGGCCAAAGAUACAAGAGAAUUUCUAUCUGGACAUGCUAAUAAAAAAUAGAUUUCGUAGUAUUCCUCAAUCUUUAUUUGUCUGUGAGAAAAAGUAAAUUCCAAGGGUAGCUUAGUUGCUUAGAGUUCAAACCUGGAAACUAUUAACAGAAGUGCUGAUCUUAGCUAUUCUGAGGGUAAAGAGAGAAGAGGGUGUUUCUCAGGCACUAAAUAUAGGUUUACAGAGCUUCCCAUCAAAUGGUGAUGCACUUCAGGAGCAAAGACAGGCAGCAGAUAUCUGGGAAAGGAAAGUGAAGUUUGAGGGAAGCCAUUGUGAACAUUACAUGUUUUCCAUUAUGCACAACUGCGCACGUGAUGAGGAUAUCUGUAGUCAACAUGAAAAAGCCUGAUUACCUAACUGGGUACACACUUGGCCUCUGAACACAAUUGAAGCAGAGCUUCUAAUGCAUCUGCAACUGUGGGCCACUUGAUGUACCUGAAGCCCUGUCACUGGGCAACAUGAAUGUGCAGAAAGCUCUUAAAUUCAGCAUUUGAGAGACAAUCUUACUAUGUUGCCUAAGCUGAUCUUGAAAUCCGGAACUCAAGUAAUUCUCCCCCUCCCAGAGUGCUAAGAUUACAGGUGAGAG